UACGAAGGGUGCAAGCGUUACUCGGAAUUACUGGGCGUAAAGCGUGCGUAGGUGGUUUGUUAAGUCUGCUGUGAAAGCCCCGGGCUCAACCUGGGAAUGGCAGUGGAUACUGGCAAGCUAGAGUGCGGUAGAGGGGUGUGGAAUUCCCGGUGUAGCGGUGAAAUGCGCAGAUAUCGGGAAGAACACCCGUGGCGAAGGCGGCUCUCUGGGACGGUACUGACGCUGAGACGCGAAAGCGUGGGGAGCGAACAGG
rnacentral:rRNA from 1 species